AAACGAUGAUUACUCACGAUGAGUGUCCACACAGAUUGAUACGGUUUAUGUAGAAGAGACGAUACUGGGUCUGUAGCUCAGGUGGUUAGAGCGUUCGCCUGAUAAGCGAGAGGUCGGUGGUUCGAGUCCACUCAGACCCACCAAUUCCUUUUAGGGAGUUGGCAUACAGUAUCGACACCUUGAUGGGGCUAUAGCUCAGCUGGGAGAGCGCCUGCCUUGCAAGCAGGGGGUCACUGGUUCGAGCCCGGUAUCGCCCACCAUUCUCUAAGUAUUUUUGGAUAGGAAUUCCAAACCACUUCAGUAAGACGUAUGUGGUUAGAAUCUUCGACUCUGAAAGUCUUUAGAAAAUGUACUUCCUUGUGAAGAAACAUAGCUCUUUAACAAUUUGGAAAGCUGACAAAACAACAAUUUAUUGUUGUUUGUAAAGUUCUCAAUGUUUGUCUUUAAGACAAACACCAAAAUAACACAUUCAAGUGUUCUUGGAAUUUGAGUCCGGCAAAAUCGAGUCUGCAUCAUGUAUAAAAAUUGCAGACAACUUUGGUGACUUGUUCAUCAACUCGAAACUCCUUCGGGUUGUAU
rnacentral:tRNA from 1 species